AAUAGCUUCACAAGCUUGAUAAACAUUUAAAAUAAACUGUCAGUUCUUUGUAAUGGUUUAGUUUAGUGCAAAAAAAAAAAGACAUGCCUUGCACACACCGUGCAGAAGCACACACCUGCCUCCCGAAGCUUUUGGCACCAGCUCCCAAAGGGCUUGCCAUCACUUCCAACCUCCUUCAUCCAUGCCCAGCACCAUUUAUUUUUGAUACCCUUCUCGACAUCUUUAGUGUCAUCCCCGGGCUUCAUGAACCUGCGGCCCAUCCUGUGGGUUAGGCUACAAUGCUUGUUACUGCAGGCUAAUGAUGUUCAGUAGUCCCGCCCCACCCUACUUCUGAUUGGUUAGUAGGCCUAGAAUGAAAGCUGCACUUCUGUUGGGUUUAGAGAAAUGUCUAGAUAAAUCUGGCCGAACCAAAGGACACACACUCUCCUUUUUUUCGCAGUCAAUGGUGGCACGCCGGAGAUCUGGCAGGCAGUCAUGCUGAUACGCUGGAGAUCUACCAGGGCCGCCGGAAUGCUACCAGCCAUGUUAUAUUUAAAGAGCUCUCCAUGAAGCAAAGAAAACUACACCAAAGAGACUGCUGCUGCUGCUGCUGCUGCACGGUGCACACACGGCCCAAUGACAGCGCCACAAAAGUGAAACCAGAACAUCCUGACCACCAGUUUAUGAAGCGCUUGAUGUGAUAUGCAGCACAGCUUUCUAUGUGCACCUUAAAACUUAAGUAAUGUCUUAAAGUUAAAUAAUAAAUGAACUAAACAUAAUUUAACAGGUUGUCUUAAUUUUGACUCAUAAAAGUUCUUCAUUUGAUAUCAUCCAAUCAUCUCAGUCUCUCUCUUUCUCCUUUCAGUUCAUGCUCAGGGCAUAAUUUGAUCAUUCUGAUUUAAUUGUGGGAACACAAAAUCAUUAUCGCGAUUAGUAUUGGGUUAAUUGUGCAGCCAGUAAAACAUGACAAAUGUUUUAUGUGGGAGAAAACCCACCGAGCUGUUUGUUCCAGUCAAAGAUACGUGAAUCUAAAAUCCACACAGUGACUGCAUGUAACAGCUGUCGGUGCUAAAAAUCAGUUUCUAUGAGCAGGAAAGAGGUGGGGACCACUUCUGGACUACUACAACAACACAAAAUC